rnacentral:lncRNA from 1 species
CGCACUCAAGAGCCAAAACUCUGUCAUUUUUGUCUCCAAUCACCAUUUUCAUCACCUUUCGUUCACCUGUUAGUAAAUGAAGCUUCAUAGUCAUCUAUUACGACUUGAUCAACUUUACCAUUUUCUAUCUUCCAUUUUGUUUUUAUGACUAUGUGAUUGUAUUAGAAGGUUGGAUAUUGUCAAACAAUUCUUAUUAUCAAUAUGAUAAUUGCAAUGUGUAUCACAUUUUCAUCUCAAUUUUUUACCACUUACAUGAGUGAUCCCAAAGAGGUACCCAAAACUAUCAUGUGUCUGAUGGAACAUUCACAAUCUAGUGAUCCUGAAGAAACAUUCUCAACAGUGAACCCGAAGAAACACUUAUGAUAUCGGGUUGUAGUGAUCACAUCGGACCACACAUAAACAUAACAUGAUAGAUUGGUGGUCAACGCACACAAUCAUAAAUCUGUGAAAGGUGGUGAUCUUAGGGGACACCCAUAUAAUUACAAACCUAAUAGUCAAAGUUAACAGAACAUUAUAGUUCAUAGCAUGUAGCAACAUCAUAAACAUGACAUGAAUAUCAAUCAUAAAGCUCUUAAUCACGUGAUUAAUAUAUCAUGCAUAAUCAUUAACAUAAGCAUAUUAGUCACCAUUAACACCACCAUAUUAUGCAUUUUAGCUACCAUCAAUGCAUAAUAGUAAAAAUUCAUGUUUUAAGGUUCAAUAGUAUAAUUUUUUACCUGAAAGAUUAACCAAACACAAUACUCUCUAGCUGAUAGUAAAAAUUCUAUGAUUAAUCGAUCUCAAAAUUAAGGUUGAAAUCAAUUCACUCUUGAUGGUAAAAAUUCAUCAUUUAAAUCUUCAAGAUUUUUCAAAACGACUUUCCAAAGACAUGCAAUUAAAAUCAAUUCCAAUAAUAAACUUAGUAAAGAUGACGAAGAACCUUUCAUUUUCUUUUUUCUUACUUUUUUCAAUUUAAGCAUUACAAUGUUAUUUAUAAACCCUAUUAGUAUAAUAAUAUCUAUUAUUAUUAUUUUCUUUUCUUUUAGAAUAUAUAUAUAAUAUCAGUAUAUACAUAUAUUUUUAUUACAAUUAUCUUUUCUCAAUCAACUUCUUAAAUGCACAAAAUUUUAGGCAUUUAUAACCAUUAAUAAUAAUAAUACUUUCUUAUAAACAAAUAUAUUUAUUUAAAUCAUUAUUCUCUUCGUAAUUAAAUAUAUUUUUUUUGUCCAAUUAAAUUCAUCAUCUCUCCUCAUUAAUUAUCUUAUUUUUCAAACAAUUAUAAUUAUAUUCCACAGUAUAAUUAGCUUUACAUUUUCUUAUUAGUUAUUUAUACAAAAUCAAUAAUAACAUAUUCUAUAUAGGAUUAAUUACCAAAAUAUUAUUAUUUCUAAAACUAUUUACGAGUAUACUCCAGUUUCAAAACUAUUUAGGAAAAUGUUGCUAUUUUUUUUUUUCUUUCUCCUUGGGCGAGUCUUCUUUCUUUUUUUUUUUCUAGUUUUUGAUAUAAAUUUUAUUGCUUCUCUCUUUUUUUUUUAAUUGUUCGUAUACAUUUUUCUUCUUCCUUUUUUAAAUUUAUCUUUUAUAUAAAUUUUUAUAAUUUUCUUAAAUUUUUCAUAUAAUUUUUUCUUAAAAACUAAAUUCUACUAAUUUAAAAAAAUUUAAAUUUUAGGAGUACUUACAUAAUUAGAAAAAUAAAUUAACAAACACAAGAUAAUGUUAAUAUUUAAAUAAUCUUUUGAGAUGUUCUAAACAAAAAUAAAAUUUUCUUUUAAAAAAAUAUCAAAUUUGAAGAGUGAAUAUUUUAUAUAAUUAAAAAAGCACGCACACAUGAAAUAUUUUUCAUUAAAAUUUAGAAUUUCAAGGACAGAGUAUUAGGAUAACUUCCACAAAAUAAAUACCUCGUGAAUAAAUACAACAAAUAAUAAUAUUAAUAAUUCUUUUAGAAUUUUGUUAAAAUCUUUUGGUAUUCUGAACAAAAGUAAGAUUUUAAACUUGACGAUAUGGAAAAUUCUCAUUUCUUCUAUAAAAAUCUUCUUAAUCUCGGCUAUAUCUUGGCACUACCAUGUAUAUUAUUUAUUUUUGUUAAAUUCAUUUUUUCUAAAUUAUUUAGAUAUAUUUUGACUAGAUUUUUAUAUUUUAUAUUUGUAGACUUUGUGGCCAUUCAAAAAAAGAACGAACAAGUCUAUUUUUCUCGUUUUAUGUCCUAUAUAUAUAACAAAUAAUAUUAUAUUCUCAUGUUAUUUACUUUUUGUGUAGUUUAUCUGUCUUGGAUUGACAACCAGAAAAACAAAUUGAAAGACAAUAGUAGAACCGUCCUUCAAUUUGUAAGUUUUUUUUUAUAAACUGAAUCAAUUGUAUUAAUGUUUUAUUCUAAAAAAUGUUUGAUGAUUAUAUGUAUGAUAUGUAUAUUCUUCUCCGCACUACCUAUCCGAUUCCCAAACCUUUUUUGUUUAAAAUGGAACAAAACAUGAUUCUGUAUGCAUUUAAAAAUUUGACAAUGUGGAACUUGAACAAUAAUAAAACUAGAUGUGUAAUUUUUUGAUAUUGCAAACGGUCAAAAUUAGAAAUUAUAAGUUUUUGUCUUUCUAACUACUGUUAUCGCUUAUCAAUUAUAUUUCACUAACUAUAUAUGUACUUUUUAAAUAUAAAAAUUUAACCUCUAUACAACCAAUCAACCAAAAAGAGUGAUGUUUUUAAUUUUAGGUUGAUGUUUUUAAUUUUUGUGAAAAUGCUAUAUGAAAAUGCUAUAUUCUACUCAUUUGUUUAAAAUAAUCCUAAUAAUUUUUGUGAAAUAAACUUUAGGUGAAUAAGAUUCCAAAAAACAUAUAAUAAAACUGUUAGUAAUUAAUAUAUAUUGGUUAUUAUAUAUGAAAUUGAUUCACACAUUUCUCUUGUUUUAGAAAUAUAAAUGGAAAGUUGAAUCUCUAAAGAUUUUGUAAAAUAAAUUUAAUUUACAUUUAUGCUUUAUUAAUUUUAAUAUUGUAAUUUUAUUUUAUUUGAUUUAUUAAAUUGAUCAAAUAAAUUUUUAAAAAACAUUCACAUUCUUCCCUCUUAAAAAAAAUAAAAGAAAAAUGAACAACAAAUAAAAAAGAAACUUUUGGAACAAUUUAACAAUAUUCCUACCAAACAACGAGUCCAGUCAAAUUUAACAAAUAAAUAAAUAAUACUAUCCACUUUUAACGAAAAAUUUACUACACUUGAUCAUUUCUAGUUGAAUGAACAUACUUAUUUAUAAUUUUAUACUUCUAUAUAACUUAUUUAUAAUUUUAUACUUCUAUAUAACUUAUAUCGUUAAGUUAAAUAUUUAGAAUUUAUUUAUUUUGAACUCCCUUGUAUUUGUGAAACCUUAUCUAUUGUAUUUGUUUAUUUAUUUUACCAAAAAAUGUUACUUUUGUUUAGAACAUACUAAAAGAUUUUAACAAAAUUCUAAAAGAAUUAUUAACUUACUAUUUUUUGUAUUUAUUUAUGAAGUAUUUAUUUAUCAAGUUAUACCAAAUACUCUACUCUUCAAAUUUUGAAUUUUAACCAAAAAUAUUUAUUAACAUUAUUAUUGAUGUGUGUACAUUUUUUAAGUAUACAACCACUCUUGAAAUUUAGUAUUUUUUAAAAGAAAAUUUUAUUUUUGUUUAGAAUAUCCCAACAGAUUUUAUAGUGAAAAUUUUAAAAUAGUAUUUACAUUAUUCUAUGUCUGUUAAUUUAUUUGGCCAAUUGCUCAAAUAUUAUAUUUCUAAAAUUUAGAUUUGUUCAAAUUAGUAGAAUUUAGAUUUUUUAAAAAAGUUAAUUAAAUUUUAGCUCCCGUCCUUGUAACAUCCAAAUAAUUUAAGAUAAUUAAUAAAUAAAAUAAAAUAUCAAUGACUAUCAUCCCUUCUAAAUUAAAUAUUUUAAAUUAAGGGAAAAAUCAUGGACAUCAUUUUUUCUUUUGUUUUUUGCAAAUAUAUUGUAAUAAAUGUUGGAAUGAGAAUUUGAACCUGAAACCACCUAUUCAGAGGAACAUAAAGGUACCAGUUGAGCUAAGCUCAUGCGCACCGAUAACUCUUAUUUUUGUUUAGCCUAAGCAAAAGUUAAGUGCUGAAGUAAAAGUUGAGUGCUGAAGAGAUAGAAAAGUGAGAAGUGGAAGUUCUAAAAGUACACACCUCAGACAAUGGCAUCGAUAUGAUGAACAAACCAGUGACCGAAUGAAGUUGGAAAAGUUCCUUGGACUAACUGGUUUUACAGAACCUGAGUAAAACCUGUAAAGAAGAAAGGGAGCAGAAAAAUAAAUUGAAAUGAUUUUGUCUCUUUCAAGGUGGAGUUUUGAAGGGUUUUCUUUGUGUAACCUCUCAAGUUUGAAAUAAAAAUCAUUUUGUGUAAAAUCUGUUAAUUAGAAAAGUAGUUGAUGAAAAUAUCAACAAUAAAAGGUGCUUUUAGACAGAUUAUUAAAGGGUGAUUCAAAAUCGGAGAAGUGAUUUUCUGAGAGUAAAAAAAACUUAUAUGGUUACUGUUUUCUCCGUGGAUGCAGCUGAUCAUCUCUUUGACCAAACCAUGUAAUUGCUUCUGUCUCUUAUCUUUCUUCUUCUCCUUAUUUUGUUUAAAUCUCCGUAGCUUCUACAAAUUGUUCUUCUGAUCUAUGUAUUUGUA